UACGUAGGGGGCAAGCGUUGUCCGGAAUUAUUGGGCGUAAAGAGCGCGUAGGCGGUCCGAUAAGUCGGCUGUGAAAGUCAGGGGCUCAACCCUUGGAAGCCGGCCGAUACUGUCGGACUAGAGUCCGGAAGAGGCGAGUGGAAUUCCCGGUGUAGCGGUGAAAUGCGCAGAUAUCGGGAGGAACACCAAUGGCGAAGGCGGCUCUCUGGGACGGUACUGACGCUGAGACGCGAAAGCGUGGGGAGCGAACAGG
rnacentral:rRNA from 1 species